rnacentral:rRNA from 1 species
GAGAGUUUGAUCCUGGCUCAGGACGAACGCUGGCGGCGCGCCUAACACAUGCAAGUCGAACGAGCGAGAGAGAGCUUGCUUUCUCGAGCGAGUGGCGAACGGGUGAGUAACGCGUGAGGAACCUGCCUCAAAGAGGGGGACAACAGUUGGAAACGACUGCUAAUACCGCAUAAGCCCACGGCUCGGCAUCGAGCAGAGGGAAAAGGAGCAAUCCGCUUUGAGAUGGCCUCGUGUCCGAUUAGCUAGUUGGUGAGGUAACGGCCCACCAAGGCGACGAUCGGUAGCCGGACUGAGAGGUUGAACGGCCACAUUGGGACUGAGACACGGCCCAGACUCCUACGGGAGGCAGCAGUGGGGAAUAUUGCACAAUGGGGGAAACCCUGAUGCAGCGACGCCGCGUGGAGGAAGAAGGUCUUCGGAUUGUAAACUCCUGUUGUUGGGGAAGAUAAUGACGGUACCCAACAAGGAAGUGACGGCUAACUACGUGCCAGCAGCCGCGGUAAAACGUAGGUCACAAGCGUUGUCCGGAAUUACUGGGUGUAAAGGGAGCGCAGGCGGGAAGACAAGUUGGAAGUGAAAUCUAUGGGCUCAACCCAUAAACUGCUUUCAAAACUGUUUUUCUUGAGUAGUGCAGAGGUAGGCGGAAUUCCCGGUGUAGCGGUGGAAUGCGUAGAUAUCGGGAGGAACACCAGUGGCGAAGGCGGCCUACUGGGCACCAACUGACGCUGAGGCUCGAAAGUGUGGGUAGCAAACAGGAUUAGAUACCCUGGUAGUCCACACCGUAAACGAUGAUUACUAGGUGUUGGAGGAUUGACCCCUUCAGUGCCGCAGUUAACACAAUAAGUAAUCCACCUGGGGAGUACGACCGCAAGGUUGAAACUCAAAGGAAUUGACGGGGGCCCGCACAAGCAGUGGAGUAUGUGGUUUAAUUCGACGCAACGCGAAGAACCUUACCAAGUCUUGACAUCCCUUGACAGACAUAGAAAUAUGUAUUCUCUUCGGAGCAAGGAGACAGGUGGUGCAUGGUUGUCGUCAGCUCGUGUCGUGAGAUGUUGGGUUAAGUCCCGCAACGAGCGCAACCCUUAUGGUCAGUUACUACGCAAGAGGACUCUGGCCAGACUGCCGUUGACAAAACGGAGGAAG